AUGUUAAAUUUGAGCUACCUACAUUUGGAGACAUAUUUUGUAAUGUUUGAUUAUCCAGAGAAGACAAACAAUUUUAUAAUAAACAAACCAUUAUGGAGUUUAAGCAUUCUAUUAAUAUGUACAUUCAACAUAAACACAACAAUCUACCCAUCAAAUUUAACAAGGGUGAGCAAACAAAGUAUUAAGCUUAGGACUCCUGACAAUGGAUCUUCCGACAAUGGUCAAGAAGAAAAAUCUCAAGAAGGUAAAGUGGCCGUGUUAGGAGAUAAAAACGAUUGGAAGAGAAAACAAGCAGAAGAGAAAAAA